CCUUUUUGGUCUAAAAUUUAACGCACGUUUUUUUCACACCUUUGCAUGUAUACGUAUGUAAAAACGGUGUGUCAAAUCACGUGGUUAUAUAAGUUCAUGCAACCGCGCGCGGUCUUUGUCCUUUGAUCCUAUAGUUAUAUUUGUGUGGAAACGACAUUGUUUGAAGGUUGUUUUUUAAACAUUUGCAAAUUCUAAAUUAAAUAAUAUGCAAAUUCUAUAUAUUUAAAUUAAAAGCUGAACAAAUAGGGGUUUGUUAAAAAGAGAUAUUAGAAUGUACCUUAAUAAAAUAAAUAUAUAUCGAC